AAGUCGAGCGGUAAGGCCUUUCGGGGUACACGAGCGGCGAACGGGUGCGUAACACGUGGGUGAUCUGCCCUGCACUUCGGGAUAAGCCUGGGAAACUGGGUCUAAUACCGGAUAUGACCUCCUAUCGCAUGGUGGGUGGUGGAAAGAUUUAUCGGUGCAGGAUGGGCCCGCGGCCUAUCAGCUUGUUGGUGGGGUAAUGGCCUACCAAGGCGACGACGGGUAGCCGACCUGAGAGGGUGACCGGCCACACUGGGACUGAGACACGGCCCAGACUCCUACGGGAGGCAGCAGUGGGGAAUAUUGCACAAUGGGCGAAAGCCUGAUGCAGCGACGCCGCGUGAGGGAUGACGGCCUUCGGGUUGUAAACCUCUUUCAGCAGGGACGAAGCGCAAGUGACGGUACCUGCAGAAGAAGCACCGGCUAACUACGUGCCAGCAGCCGCGGUAAUACGUAGGGUGCAAGCGUUGUCCGGAAUUACUGGGCGUAAAGAGUUCGUAGGCGGUUUGUCGCGUCGUUUGUGAAAACCAGCAGCUCAACUGCUGGCUUGCAGGCGAUACGGGCAGACUUGAGUACUGCAGGGGAGACUGGAAUUCCUGGUGUAGCGGUGAAAUGCGCAGAUAUCAGGAGGAACACCGGUGGCGAAGGCGGGUCUCUGGGCAGUAACUGACGCUGAGGAACGAAAGCGUGGGUAGCGAACAGGAUUAGAUACCCUGGUAGUCCACGCCGUAAACGGUGGGCGCUAGGUGUGGGUUCCUUCCACGGAAUCCGUGCCGUAGCUAACGCAUUAAGCGCCCCGCCUG
rnacentral:rRNA from 1 species